rnacentral:rRNA from 1 species
UGGGGAAUAUUGCACAAUGGGCGCAAGCCUGAUGCAGCCAUGCCGCGUGUAUGAAGAAGGCCUUCGGGUUGUAAAGUACUUUCAGCGGGGAGGAAGGUGUUGAGGUUAAUAACCUCAGCAAUUGACGUUACCCGCAGAAGAAGCACCGGCUAACUCCGUGCCAGCAGCCGCGGUAAUACGGAGGGUGCAAACGUUAAUCGGAAUUACUGGGCGUAAAGCGCACGCAGGCGGUCUGUCAAGUCGGAUGUGAAAUCCCCGGGCUCAACCUGGGAACUGCAUUCGAAACUGGCAGGCUAGAGUCUUGUAGAGGGGGGUAGAAUUCCAGGUGUAGCGGUGAAAUGCGUAGAGAUCUGGAGGAAUACCGGUGGCGAAGGCGGCCCCCUGGACAAAGACUGACGCUCAGGUGCGAAAGCGUGGGGAGCAAACA